UCGGGAAUUUUGGGCAAUGGGGGAAACCCUGACCCAGCAACGCCGCGUGAAGGAUGAAGUAUUUCGGUAUGUAAACUUCGAAAGAAUAGGAAGAAUUAAUGACGGUACUAUUUAUAAGGUCCGGCUAACUACGUGCCAGCAGCCGCGGUAAUACGUAGGGACCAAGCGUUGUUCGGAUUUACUGGGCGUAAAGGGCGCGUAGGCGGCAUGGUAAGUCACUUGUGAAAUCUCCGAGCUUAACUCGGAACGGCCAAGUGAUACUGCUGAGCUAGAGUGCAGAAGGGGGCAAUCGGAAUUCUUGGUGUAGCGGUGAAAUGCGUAGAUAUCAAGAGGAACACCUGAGGUGAAGACGGGUUGCUGGGCUGACACUGACGCUGAGGCGCGAAAGCUAGGGGAGCAAACGGGAUUAGAAACCCUUGUAG
rnacentral:rRNA from 1 species